GAUCCUGCGUCUAGGAUGAACGCUAGCUACAGGCUUAACACAUGCAAGUCGAGGGGAAACGACAUCGAAAGCUUGCUUUUGAUGGGCGUCGACCGGCGCACGGGUGAGUAACGCGUAUCCAACCUGCCCACCACUUGGGGAUAACCUUGCGAAAGUAAGACUAAUACCCAAUGAUAUCUCUAGAAGACAUCUGAAAGAGAUUAAAGAUUCAUCGGUGAUGGAUGGGGAUGCGU
rnacentral:rRNA from 1 species